GCCCGCUCAGAAACUCAAAGGAAUUGACGGGGCCCGCACAAGCGGUGGAGUAUGUGGUUUAAUUCGAUGCAACGCGAAGAACCUUACCUAGGUUUGACAUCCGGAAGACCUUCCCGAAAAGGAAGGGUGCCCUUCGGGGAAUUCCGAGACAGGUGCUGCAUGGCUGUCGUCAGCUCGUGCCGUGAGGUGUUGGGUUAAGUCCCGCAACGAGCGCAACCCUAUUGCCAGUUGCUACCAGGUAAUGCUGGGCACUCUGGUGAGACUGCCCCGGUUAACGGGGAGGAAGGUGGGACGACGUCAAGUCAUCAUGGCCCUUACGCCUAGGGCUACACACGUACUACAAUGGCGCAUACAAAGGGCAGCGAUACCGCGAGGUGGAGCCAAUCCCAAAAAGUGCGUCCCAGUCCGGAUUGCAGUCUGCAACUCGACUGCAUGAAGUUGGAAUCGCUAGUAAUUCGAGAUCAGCAUGCUCGGGUGAAUGCGUUCCCGGGCCUU
rnacentral:rRNA from 1 species